rnacentral:rRNA from 1 species
UACGGGGGGGGCAAGCGUUGUUCGGAAUUACUGGGCGUAAAGGGCUCGUAGGCGGCCAACUAAGUCGGACGUGAAAUCCCUCAGCUUAACUGGGGAACUGCGUCCGAUACUGGAUGGCUUGGAUUUGGGAGAGGGAUGCGGAAUUCCAGGUGUAGCGGUGAAAUGCGUAGAUAUCUGGAGGAACACCGGCGGCGAAGGCGGCAUCCUGGACCAAUAUUGACGCUGAGGAGCGAAAGCCAGGGGAGCAAACGGG